rnacentral:rRNA from 1 species
GCAUGUCUUUGACGUACUAUGUACUGAAAGAUGGACUGCUCAGUAAUACUCACUUUAUUUGAUGUACAUUAUAUAUAACUACGUUAAAGUGUAGCUAACAUAUGUACAGUAAGAGUGAGACCUAUCAGCUAGUUGUUAAGGUAAUGGCUUAACAAGGCAAUAACGGGUAACGGUAUUACUUUGUAAUAUUCCGGAGAAGGAGCCUGAGAGACGGCUACUAAGUCUAAGGAUUGCAGCAGGGGCGAAACUUGACCUAUGGAUAUUAUCUGAGGCAGUUAUGGGAAGUAACAUAGUUGUUUCACAUUUUAAACG